rnacentral:tRNA from 1 species
UAUUUUAUAGUGUAAAUAACAUAUUGUAUUUUCGUUACAAAGCUGAAAUUAAAUUUCUAAAAUAU